rnacentral:rRNA from 1 species
UAUGUAGGGGGCAAGCGUUAUCCGGAAUUACUGGGUGUAAAGGGUGAGUAGGCGGCAUGGUAAGCCAGAUGUGAAAGCCUUGGGCUUAACCCGAGGAUUGCAUUUGGAACUAUCAAGCUAGAGUACAGGAGAGGAAAGCGGAAUUCCUAGUGUAGCGGUGAAAUGCGUAGAUAUUAGGAAGAACACCAGUGGCGAAGGCGGCUUUCUGGACUGAAACUGACGCUGAGGCACGAAAGCGUGGGGAGCGAACAGG